GUGAUGACAAAACUUGGAGCUCCAUUUGGAUUGAUUAAUUGAAAAAGAAACGAAACAGAAGGUAUGGCUUACCCACUGUAUAUGAAAUAUAUGCAUUUGCAGUUUAUGAAAAUGUCCACAUGCAGUACAUGUUCAUUUUAGGAUGUUCACUCAUUCGAGAGAGGUUCACUUUUUUUAAUCUUGGAAGUUUGAAUCAUCUGAGGAGGAUUCCAACACUAGGUACAAGGUGCAACUAGGAGUAAUAGUUCUAUAAUUAAUGAAGAGUAGAGCCUGGACAGAGGCAGGGUAUUGUCAUUUAGAAAUGCAUGAUUGUGCCUACUUGAUUUCCUUGUUAACUGUAGUGAUGCCCGUUCUCCUCUACAUCUCAAUCAGAGGUACUUUCAAAAGCCUCACUACUAUAGAAAAGGCUUAAAGAGGUUAGAAUUAUGGCACAUAUGAAUUCACUAAGAGUUCUUAAACUUUGAUUUUGCAGGAGUUCUAUUUGUACACAUGUGAAGUCCAUCUUUCCCUGAAGCUGCUAAAUCCAAUCCCUGGUGUAAAGGAAGUGCAUCUCUAAGUUUGUUGCCUACUCUAUUACAGUUUAGAAAAUUUAAUUGGCUACUAAAAGAGAGUAAAAUCAGUGAAGAGCUACUGCUAUGUAUUUUUUGCUUUGAUUGAUUUGCUGGUUGGUUGGUAGUUGGUAAAAAAAAUCGUAGUAAGCAUCAAGAUAAUUCAGAAGUUCUGAACUUUUAAAAAAGUGAAGUCCAAUUCGUCUCAUGCUAGAAGUUCAUCUUGUGUUUGUCUCGCUGCAAUUUGUCAUCUGGUAGUGUGCAUGGCUGAACUAUCUUUAUUCUACUAGCUGUCCUGAUAUUCUGUAUUCACAAGCUAUAGGAUGUCAUGUGUGUGUGCCAAUUCAUCUAUUAUUCCUUAUGUACGAAAAAAUCACCUUCACAGGGCAUGAGCACUCAAAUUAUUCAUGUUUUACCUCAGGUGAUUUCAUCCGGGAAGUUCACCGGGCCCCCAUCGGGAGUUCACCGUGCUCAGAGCUCGCGCGCCGCCCCUGCGUACGCCUGAGUCCUACCCCCUUCCUAGAAGUGCAGUGUUUGGUUCAAAAGUUCUGUUAUUUGGGACACAAAUCUGACAGGCAACAACCUCACCCAUAAAAAUGAAAAAGAAGUAGUUCUAGAUGGACGCCAUGGAAGUUUACUGAUUCAUUUGACAGGAUGCAAAGCAGUACAGCUGUCGGGUGCUCUUGCUGCAAUGUUGCUGAUACGAACUGGAAUAGAUGUUGUUUUCAGCGGGAACAGUUCGCUUGCAUAUAAGUUCACUUCUCAUAUUGAUACAGCGACAUUGUUGCAGUUCACUCCCACUCGCAUCGUCCGAGCAUCUCAUGCAUAUACAACAAGGACUCCCUGAUCACAGCCAACCUGAUGAGGCAAUGUUGCAGAGGACGAGGACAUAAACGUGUUGCUAGCCCUACACUACUUCUUCAAGGCAGAUGCGGCUUAGCGGUCACUCCUUGUCCAUGGCGUUUUCAAGCCCAAAUGUCGCGCCAUGGUGGCGUCUGUUACAGGAGCAUCGCCAGGACGGGCACGGCGCCGGCUCAGUGAAGCUCACUGAUACUAAUUUUUGGAGUUAACUUCUCUAUUUGUGAAUUUCUUGUGUCCUGAUACUUCAUUUUAGACUAUUCCCACAAGAUGGAUUUUUAUUUGAGUCUACUAGAUGGAUUGUUUGUGAAGUUCGCUUCUGAUACUUGCGCUGAUGGGUGGAUGACUUGUAUUAAUUGUGUGAAGUUCACUAUUAUGCA